GAUCAAUGAUGAGAAAAACUGAUUUGAUUGCACAGGGUUUAUUUCUCUCAGCAUCUUGUGGCUUCCAGCAGGACUGCUAACCCAGCUUGUUCUAGCAGUGCCAUGACUGGGUUAGGAGCUGCUGACAUACAUGGAUGUCUGUGAUCCUUUUCUUGUAGAGUAAUAGAAAAGGUUUGAGCAUAUGUCCAACAUUUCCUUGCUAGAGAAGAAGCUUUUGAUGCUGUGGUGAAAAGUUUUACACACUGGUGCAUGAUCUAUAGUUUUCAAGCUGAGAUC